rnacentral:rRNA from 1 species
AUUGAACGCUAGCGGGAUGCCUUACACAUGCAAGUCGAACGGCAGCGGGAAAGUAGCUUGCUACUUUUGCCGGCGAGUGGCGAACGGGUGAGUAAUGUAUCGGAACGUGCCCAGUAGCGGGGGAUAACUACGCGAAAGCGUGGCUAAUACCGCAUACGCCCUACGGGGGAAAGGGGGGGAUCUUAGGACCUCUCACUAUUGGAGCGGCCGAUAUCGGAUUAGCUAGUUGGUGGGGUAAAGGCCUACCAAGGCGACGAUCCGUAGCUGGUUUGAGAGGACGACCAGCCACACUGGGACUGAGACACGGCCCAGACUCCUACGGGAGGCAGCAGUGGGGAAUUUUGGACAAUGGGGGAAACCCUGAUCCAGCCAUCCCGCGUGUGCGAUGAAGGCCUUCGGGUUGUAAAGCACUUUUGUCAGGGAAGAAAAGGUUUCGGCUAAUAUCCGGAACUGAUGACGGUACCUGAAGAAUAAGCACCGGCUAACUAC